rnacentral:rRNA from 1 species
UGGGGAAUUUUGGACAAUGGGCGAAAGCCUGAUCCAGCAAUGCCGCGUGUGUGAAGAAGGCCUUCGGGUUGUAAAGCACUUUUGUCCGGAAAGAAAUCCUUGGCUCUAAUACAGUCGGGGGAUGACGGUACCGGAAGAAUAAGCACCGGCUAACUACGUGCCAGCAGCCGCGGUAAUACGUAGGGUGCAAGCGUUAAUCGGAAUUACUGGACGUAAAGCGUGCGCAGGCGGUUUGCUAAGACCGAUGUGAAAUCCCCGGGCUCAACCUGGGAACUGCAUUGGUGACUGGCAGGCUAGAGUAUGGCAGAGGGGGGUAGAAUUCCACGUGUAGCAGUGAAAUGCGUAGAGAUGUGGAGGAAUACCGAUGGCGAAGGCAGCCCCCUGGGCCAAUACUGACGCUCAUGCACGAAAGCGUGGGGAGCAAACAGGAUUAGAUACCCUGGUAGUCCACGCCCUAAACGAUGUCAACUAGUUGUUGGGGAUUCAUUCCUUAGUAACGUAGCUAACGCGUGAAGUUGACCGCCUGGGGAGUACGGUCGCAAGAUUAAAACUUCAAAUGGAAUUGACGGGGUCAUAGCUGUUUCCU